CUGACUCAUUAAGCAGAUAUUUGCACCUCUUGUUUUGUGCAAGGUUUUCAGUUUUGCUCCUAACUUUUUCAUACACAUGCCUUCACUGACUUGGAUUGCACAACUGGAAGACCAACUAUAUCCUAAAUUAGUGUUAUGUACUAACAGGUCAGUGUAUCUGCAUAUUUUCCAACUUACUCAUCUUCAUUGUUUCCUCUAGUAGGCUGAACACAGGACAUCUUGAGCUACUGCAUGGUUGACUCUUCUGCAUUACCACAGGAUCUCCUCCUGCAUUACUGAUGGAUCUUGGACAUGGAGCAAUGUGCUACAUGGUAGACAGAUCCUAUGUAAAGGGAAUGAAAAGCCAUUACUGUGCAGAUAUUUAGAAAAAAGUAACCAUAUGAUCACAUGGCAGCUGUGGAAAAAGGCUGGACUUGUCAGAAGCAACUUCAGCUCGGGCAAUAUCCAAGCAGCUGAGAUAUCACAAGUCACCUCCGGUCAGCUGAACUGUACUGCCUGCCCGAGUCACCACACUAAGAGAUUCAGAAGAAGCAUGAAAAGCGUAUGGAAAUCUCUUGUCUUCCCACUGGGUAUCCUCUUUCAUGGAAAAAUGAAGCUGAUGUGCAACAUGAACUAUUGUCUCAUCUGUGAGUAGGGUAUUGAGCUCUCUUUGCUCCCACAAUUCAGGAGGUUCCUCAGAGGCCAGAUACUCUUAGAAAUGUAAUUUGAUGCCUAUAUCAAAGCAGGAUGUUCCUUUUAGUUUCUCCAGGGCUCUGAAACAUUCCUUCUGCUUCCCCACUAAUGCUUGCGGCCAGUUGCAUCUGGUAAGGAAGGAAGGGAUCAAUUCUUAAAGUAACCAGAUUAUGUCAGAGAUGGGAAUAGGCAGAAGUAGACAAACAACAGCCAGAAUGAUCCAUCAGUCAUUCCCAAGGGGCUCUUCACAAAUAGCCUUGAUGUACUCUCAGUGCUGAAAUUUAUGAGCAGUGUUAACAAACAAAGCUCAAGGCAUUGCUAGAGGAACAAAGUGAUUUCAGUGAUUAUUUGCCACAGGCAAACCAAUAAGCAAGCC
rnacentral:lncRNA from 1 species